rnacentral:misc_RNA from 1 species
UUUCCGUAGGUGAACCUGCGGAAGGAUCAUUAUUGUGUAACCGAGGUGCGAGGGCUGUCGCUGACCCGAAAGGUCGUGCACGCCCGAGUGCCCUCACACACAUCCAUCUCACCCUUAUGUGCACCACCGCGUGGGUCCCCCUUUGGCUUGUUCGGAGGGGGGCUUACGUUUUCACACAAACUUUGUAUGCAGUGUAGAAUGUAUUUUUUGUUUUUGCGAUCACGCAAUCAAUACAACUUUCAACAACGGAUCUCUUGGCUCUC